rnacentral:rRNA from 1 species
UACGGGGGGGGCAAGCGUUGUUCGGAAUUACUGGGCGUAAAGGGCUCGUAGGCGCCAACUAAGUCAGACGUGAAAAUCCCUCGGCUUAACCGGGGAACUGCAUCUGAUACUGGAUGGCUUGAGUUCGGGAGAGGGAUGCGGAAUUCCAGGUGUAGCGGUGAAAUGCGUAGAUAUCUGGAGGAACACCGGUGGCGAAGGCGGCAUCCUGGACCGACACUGACGCUGAGGAGCGAAAGCGUGGGGAGCGAACGAGG